UUAAAAACAGACUGCAAAUUGAAAUAUUUUACUGGGCAGCAGAACCUACGGGUUGAGGUCUCAAUCGCGUUGUGCUUGUUUAGGCCGGGGGGGGGGGGGCUGCUUGCUAUAGCAGUUUCAUUCACUCUUCUUCUACUAACUACUUGCUCGCGAUAGUUUUAGAGAAAACUGCUGUGGAAAACUCAAAACUGCUGUGGAAAACUCGGCCAGAAGUCUUUUCAAGCCAGACAUGUUCAUGGAUAGCAUUAGCAGUGGAGAGGAAGAAGAGGAGGAAGACUGCAUAGAAAGAAGUGAAGAAGCCAGGAGGAAAGAUUGGAGAGGAAGGAGAAGGAAAAAUGAAGGGAGUAAAAAGAGUGAAGCAAGGAGAGUGUAGAAGAGUGCGGUGGAAAGGUGAAGAGAAGGAAAGGAACAUGAGUGAAGAAAAGAGGAGUAAGAUUGGAGGAGAAGAAAAAGUUAAGAGAGUAUUUAAGAGUGGCACAAGGAGAGUGAAGAAGAGCAGACAGAGGAGAUACAAUGACUCUUACCAAGAAACGGAAAUGCACUUUUUAUGAUAAACAUGAUGAGAGAUUUUCCAUUUAAUAUGCUCAGGUCAAGACGAUAGAAUGGUUCACUGCAACCUUUGUAAAUCCUCUCUUUCAAUUGGCAGCCAGAGAAGAACGGCAGUGGUAGAACAUCAGCAGACGAAAAAGCAUAAAGCCUCUCUGAUUGCCGUGUUGGUAUGUCCUCUGUCACCACAUUCUUCAAGAAGGUAGAGCCUUCCCAAGAAGAAUAUGGUUUAGCUGUGCAGGAGGGUGUCUUUGCAUACCACAAUAUGCGACACAAUCAUAGUUACAGAUCUAUGGACUGCACAGCACAACUGACACGGAAGCUUUAUGAGCCAAAGUUUGCAUAUGCUAUGACAAAAUGUGACGCAAUAGUGAGUAACAUGUUACGUGUUAGUAUCAUGGGCAACUACUUUGGUAACACAGGACGUACACCAGGUUGAAUUUGUGUCCCUGUCCAUUGAUGCAUCCAAUCAUGGACAUGUAAAGCUGCUGCCAAUAGUAGUCAGAUAUUGUAAGAUAUAUGAUGGUCUGGAUUUGACCAUAUUAAUGACCUAAGGCUCAUAUUUAUGUGUAUUAUUAUAUUAUAAUGAAGUCUAUGAUUGAUAGAGCAGUCUGACUGAGCGGUGGUAGGCAGCAGGCU